GACGAACGCUGGCGGCGUGCUUAACACAUGCAAGUCGAACGGAAAGGCCCUGCUUUUGUGGGGUGCUCGAGUGGCGAACGGGUGAGUAACACGUGAGUAACCUGCCCUUGACUUUGGGAUAACUUCAGGAAACUGGGGCUAAUACCGGAUAGGAGCUCCUGCUGCAUGGUGGGGGUUGGAAAGUUUCGGCGGUUGGGGAUGGACUCGCGGCUUAUCAGCUUGUUGGUGGGGUAGUGGCUUACCAAGGCUUUGACGGGUAGCCGGCCUGAGAGGGUGACCGGCCACAUUGGGACUGAGAUACGGCCCAGACUCCUACGGGAGGCAGCAGUGGGGAAUAUUGCACAAUGGGCGGAAGCCUGAUGCAGCAACGCCGCGUGCGGGAUGACGGCCUUCGGGUUGUAAACCGCUUUCACCUGUGACGAAGCGUGAGUGACGGUAAUGGGUAAAGAAGCACCGGCUAACUACGU
rnacentral:rRNA from 1 species